rnacentral:lncRNA from 7 species
AUAGCAAGUAUCUCCUCUGGGCUUUGGGUCCACAAGCAGGCUUUUCUGAGUUGGAGACACCUGAAGGAGAGGUUUAGAGGGCUGCAAAAAUUCUAGCCUACAUCCAUCCUGGUCAUGGAAGGAGACAACUGAUGGUUGGACUCAUCAUAGCAAUACAAGUUACCCGAGAGUUAUGUAGUUUUCUACACAGAGUCAAAGCAAAGAAGGAUUUGGAAGAAUUUACCAGAAAGCUGAUUAUAUAGCUUCUUGCCAAGAAGAAUCACAAGAGCAACCAGGGAGCAGAUGCUCAUUCCAGCUGAGACUCCCAGUGCUCUGCUAAGAGCUUCCUCCCUGCCUCAUCCAACUGUGCUGGCUCUGAGCAGACCCAGCAAACCCUAUUGGCCAACGACUGACUAUGUGACGAAGGCAGCAGAUCGAUUCUGGUGCCUUUAUCUGUAUUUUAGAUGCAGUCUAAUCAUACAGUAUUCCUCCUGCGUUGCAGUGAAUGCUGCAAGAUGGAUAUAGAUAUGCACAAUGCACUGCUUUCCACUCGAGGGAAGACAUUUCACUAUUGUUUAAUCCAAUAUAAAUUGGACCCACUUCAAUAUCAAUUAAUUAUUUAACUGGAGACUCUUCAACAUGAGAAAGAAAUAUUCUGCCUCCCAUUACACACUUAUUAGUAAACAGAUCAGAAAUGUGAUCUCCCUGAGCGUGCCUUCCCAAAGACAACUGUGCACAUCUGUGCUGCUGCAAGACUGAAAGUAUGACCAAAGUAAGAGUCCUUUGAGCAAAAGUUCCCAAGGGGCCAAGAAGCAAGGAAGCAAAAUUACUGUUGCUUCCCCAGGUGCUGAGCAGUACCCAGGCAUCAGAGUACCAGUGCUCUUUCUGAUGCAGGAAAGGAGCAGUGGGGUCCAAAGCGAUGUACCCAAUGGCAGGGAGGGCUGUGCUGGUGCCAGGACCUGCUGUCUUUCUCUCCUUUCUUUACAGGGAAUUUUAUUCACACAUACAUUAGAGACUUUACCACUCCUCUGGGAGCAUAAUAGCAUCUAAAAGUGAGUGGAUAUCACUGUUCCACCAAUUUAAAAUCA